ACACAUGCAAGUCGGACGGGUUGGCUUUCGGGUCGACCAGUGGCGGACGGGUGCGUAACACGUAGGUAACCUGCCCUCAAGUGGGGAAUAACUCCGCUAACGUGGAGCUAAUACCGCAUGUGGUCAGCUGGCGACAGUUUGACUAAAGUCUGCGGCUUGUCUGCGGAUGCUUGGGGAGGGGCCUGCGGCGGAUUAAGUAGUUGGUGGGGUAAGGGCCUACCAAGCCGAUGAUCCGUANGGGGCGUGAGAGCGUGGCCCCCCACACUGGCACUGAGAUACGGGCCAUACUCCUACCGGAGGCAGCAGUGG
rnacentral:sRNA from 1 species